GACGAACGCUGGCGGCGUGCUUAACACAUGCAAGUCGAACGGAAAGGCCCUGCUUUUGUGGGGUGCUCGAGUGGCGAACGGGUGAGUAACACGUGAGUAACCUGCCCUUGACUUUGGGAUAACUUCAGGAAACUGGGGCUAAUACCGGAUAGGAGCUCCUGCUGCAUGGUGGGGGUUGGAAAGUUUCGGCGGUUGGGGAUGGACUCGCGGCUUAUCAGCUUGUUGGCGGGGUAGUGGCUUACCAAGGCUUUGACGGGUAGCCGGCCUGAGAGGGUGACCGGCCACAUGGGGACUGAGAUACGGCCCAGACUCCUACGGGAGGCAGCAGUGGGGAAUAUUGUACAAUGGGCGGAAGCCUGAUGCAGCAACGCCGGGGGCGGGAUGACGGCCUUCGGGUUGUAAACCGCUUUCGCCUGUGACGAAGCUGGAGUGACGGUAAUGGGUAAAGAAGCACCGGCUAACUACGUG
rnacentral:rRNA from 1 species